CCCGCGGGUGGGAGUGGAUUCUUGGGAAACAGCUCCAAAACCCCCAAGUUCGCCCCUGAUUUGUUAGGUGUCCCUCAGUGGCCUCCCUCUCUCCUGACUACAGUUGAGUAGGAGGGGGCUACUGUAGGGGAAGAGGGAGGCCAGCCCUGCGGAGAGCUCCAGGACACUAUUUCAUCUGUAUUUAACAUGUCUAGCAUUAUGAUAACCUAUUUUAGAAAUAUUCAUGUAAUGGUUAUAACACCCCUGUGAGGGAGGUGUCAUCAUUUUUACAGAUAAAGGAAAUGGAAAUAGACAAUAAGGGCCCCAGAGGGAUUUGAACCUAGGAUGCCUGGUUUGGGGGAUGUUCACCGCAGGUGCUGCUAACAUAAAUCAGGAUGCUCAAUUCCAGGUUCCCUGUCUUGGAGUGGCAAUGGAGAAGAGGGCCAGCAUCGACAGCAGGGCUGGCUGCCCACUCUGUCGUGUUUGCUCAGCUGUCAAAUGAGAGAGGAUCCCAAUCCAAGGAGAAGAUUCCAGUCUGAGGAGAGGGAAGAGGCCGGCAGAAUGGGAAAGACUGAAGCAUAAGGAAAGUGAUCAGAAGCAAAGGACCUGCGAUCUUGUUUGCAAGCACAGUGCUUGUCCCUGAUACCCCAUGGGCGUGCAGUCUCCUCACGCAAUGUAUGGACUUCAGUGCUCGAGGGACACGUAAGAGCAUGGGCAAAUCUAUAUGUAGGUGAACCUGUACAUGAACCAGCCUAGGGAACUUGUGCAUACCCAUCCUUGCAGGCAGCCAGGUGGUGUCCAAUCUGUUCUGGGAAAUGUUAACAGAAACCUUCCUGGAAGAAGAAGAACAGCAGCUGCCAUUAUUGAGCACUUCUUGUGUGCCAAGCACCAUCCCAAGUGUUCACACCCUCCAUGUGCUGAGUCUCCAUCGUAGGGAUGAGGAAAUAAAGGCACAGAGAAGGAAGCUCCCCACAUAGCAAUCAAGAGCCCUGAAGUCGGGUCUUCCCUGGUAGUCCAGUGGCUAAGACUCCAAGCUCCCAAUGCAGGGGGCCUGGGUUCAAUCCCUGAUCAGGGAACUAGAUCCCAUAUGCUGCAACUCAGAGAUUGCAUCCUGCAACUAAAGAGUCCACAUUCUGCAACUAAGACCCAACACAAA